GUCUCGGAUAGCUUAAGUGGUAGAGCAUUUGGCGCGUAACCAAAAAAUCCAGGUUCGACUCCUGGUCUGGGCU
rnacentral:tRNA from 1 species